GAUGAACGCUGGCGGCGUGCCUAAUACAUGCAAGUCGAGCGAACAGACGAGGAGCUUGCUCCUCUGACGUUAGCGGCGGACGGGUGAGUAACACGUGGAUAACCUACCUAUAAGACUGGGAUAACUUCGGGAAACCGGAGCUAAUACCGGAUAAUAUAUUGACCCGCAUGGUUCAAUAGUGAAAGACGGUUUUGCUGUCGCUUAUAGAUGGAUCCGCGCCGCAUUAGCUAGUUGGUAAGGUAACGGCUUACCAAGGCAACGAUGCUUAGCCGACCUGAGAGGGUGAUCGGCCACACUGGAACUGAGACACGGUCCAGACUCCUACGGGAGGCAGCAGUAGGGAAUCUUCCGCAAUGGGCGAAUGCCUGACGGUGCAACGCCGCGUGAGUGAUGAAGGUCUUCGGAUCGUAAAGCUCUGUUAUUAGGGAAGAACAAAUGUGUAAGUAACUAUGCACGUCUUGACGGUACCUAAUCAGAAAGCCACGGCUAACUACGUG
rnacentral:rRNA from 1 species